rnacentral:tRNA from 1 species
GUGGUUAUAGCCCAGUGGUAGAGCGCAUGAUUAGUGUGCACAAGGUCCUGGGUUCAAGCCCCAGUGCCUUCA